AGGUGGAGUAUUUAGGUGGUAGGUAGUUAAGUAGAGGAAGAUGAAGUAGGGAAGGGAGACUGGGAGAGGAAGAUGAAGUAGGGGAGGCUGGUGAUCACUGGUGCCUCUCUUUCCUGUUCGUCUCUUCUUUCUUUGUUUUCCUAAUCGUUGGUCUCGGUUAAUGAGAAUCUGUUACAUAAUCUCUAGUUUAUCUUGUGUAUGCUUUGGGAUUCUUGAGAUCAGGUACGUAGCAUAAUAUAAAUCAAGGCGCUUAUGAAUAAUAUAAAAUAGGUUACGAGCACUAGAA
rnacentral:lncRNA from 1 species